rnacentral:tRNA from 1 species
ACCCUGGUGGUGGAAUUGGUAGACACGCGGGACUUAAAAUCCCGUUCGCAGUAAUGCGAGUGUGGGUUCAACUCCCAUCUGGGGUACAA